rnacentral:rRNA from 1 species
ACUCCUACGGGAGGCAGCAGUGAGGAAUCUUCCACAAUGGGGGCAACCCUGAUCCAGCCAUGCCGCGUGAGUGAAGAAGGCCUUCGGGUUGUAAAGCUCUUUCAGCCGGGAAGAAAUCGCGCUCUUUAAUAGAGGGUGUGGAUGACGGUACCGGACUAAGAAGCACCGGCUAACUACGUGCCAGCAGCCGCGGUAAU